GAUGAACGCUGGCGGCGUGCCUAAUACAUGCAAGUCGAGCGAACGGACGAGAAGCUUGCUUCUCUGAUGUUAGCGGCGGACGGGGGAGUAACACGUGGAUAACCUACCUAUAAGACUGGGAUAACUUCGGGAAACCGGAGCUAAUACCGGAUAAUAUUUUGAACCGCAUGGUUCAAAAGUGAAAGACGGUCUUGCUGUCACUUAUAGAUGGAUCCGCGCUGCAUUAGCUAGUUGGUAAGGUAACGGCUUACCAAGGCAACGAUGCAUAGCCGACCUGAGAGGGUGGUAGGCCACACUGGAACUGAGACACGGUCCAGACUCCUACGGGAGGCAGCAGUAGGGAAUCUUCCGCAAUGGGCGAAAGCCUGACGGUGCAACGCCGCGUGAGUGAUGAAGGUCUUCGGAUCGUAAAAAUCUGUUAUUAGGGAAGAACAUAUGUGUAAGUAACUGUGCACAUCUUGACGGUACCUAAUCAGAAAGCCACGGCUAACUACGUG
rnacentral:rRNA from 1 species